rnacentral:misc_RNA from 1 species
GUUUUGGAAAGAAAAGAUGCAGCCGGAGAAAAGAUAUCUGUGGAUCACCUCUCAGAGAUUUGUACUUUGGCUGUCCGAGAGUCUUUAGCCAAUGUAUUCGGUGAUCAGUUUGAGUCUUUCGUGAGGAACUUUGAGAAAUCGUUUCAUAGUACCUUGAUGACUCUCCGAUUGAUCAGUGAAUCCUCAAUGAACAGUGGAGUACAGCAACAUAAUUGUGCAGCAAGGACUUCUGUCUCAGAAAGAUCUGUGCCUUUUAUUUCUAACAGAGUAGAAAAUGUUACAUGUGAUCCUGACUUCAGUGAGUUCCAAUCGGAGUCAUUUCAGCAGAAUAGCUCAGAUAACGAACUGAGCAAUCAAGAAGAGAGAAGUGACGGGACAUGUUUUGAAUCAAUAGGUCGGCAGCUUACCCGCUAUGAUAGGCAAGUAAGGCAACAGUUGGCUUCUGCUUCUUCAAGC